UACGUAGGGUGCAAGCGUUGUUCGGAUAUACUGGGCGUAAAGCGCACGUAGGCGGCGCCGUAAGUCAGGGGUGAAAUCCCGGAGCUCAACUCCGGAACUGCCCUUGAAACUGCAGUGCUAGAAUCUUGGAGAGGCGAGUGGAAUUCCGAGUGUAGAGGUGAAAUUCGUAGAUAUUCGGAAGAACACCAGUGGCGAAGGCGACUCGCUGGACAAGUAUUGACGCUGAGGUGCGAAAGCGUGGGGAGCAAACAGG
rnacentral:rRNA from 1 species